rnacentral:rRNA from 1 species
UGGGGAAUAUUGCACAAUGGGCGAAAGCCUGAUGCAGCAACGCCGCGUGAGUGAUGAAGGCCUUCGGGCUGUAAAGCUCUGUCUUUUGGGACGAUAAUGACGGUACCAAAGGAGGAAGCCACGGCUAACUACGUGCCAGCAGCCGCGGUAAUACGUAGGUGGCAAGCGUUGUCCGGAUUUACUGGGCGUAAAGGAUGCGUAGGCGGAUUUUUAAGUGAGAUGUGAAAUACCCGGGCUUAACUUGGGUGCUGCAUUUCAAACUGGGAAUCUAGAGUGCGGGAGAGGAGAAUGGAAUUCCUAGUGUAGCGGUGAAAUGCGUAGAGAUUAGGAAGAACACCAGUGGCGAAGGCGAUUCUCUGGACCGUAACUGACGCUGAGGCAUGAAAGCGUGGGUAGCAAACAGGAUUAGAUACCCUGGUAGUCCACGCCGUAAACGAUGAGUACUAGGUGUAGGAGGUAUCGACCCCUUCUGUGCCGCAGUUAACACAAUAAGUACUCCGCCUGGGAAGUACGAUCGCAAGAUUAAAA